UGUUAAAGUGUCAGAAUUAUGUGCUGAAUUUAGGGUUUAGUUAUGGGAAUAAUUCCCCUUUAAUAA
rnacentral:tRNA from 1 species